rnacentral:lncRNA from 1 species
GAUUUCAGUCAAAACCCACCAAAUGACUCCUCCCACAAUAUUAUGAUGUUCCCCUAGUUUUGGACUCAAUCCGAUAUCGAUUGGUCCUUGAAAUCGGACAAUUCAGGUUCGUAUGAAGUUCGUUCUGAAAUGGAGUGGUUGGUGUAUUGUAUAGUUCUAGGGAUUGUAUUUCACUCAAAACCCACCAAAUGACUCCUCCCACAAUAUUAUGAUGUUCCCCAAGUUUUGGACUCAAUCCGAUAUCGAUU